rnacentral:rRNA from 1 species
UGGUGGAGUGAUUUGUCUGGUUAAUUCCGUUAACGAACGAGACGCCGACCUGCUAAAUAGUACCGUGCAACGUCUAACGAGUGAAGCCGCUGAUGCAGUCGGGCCGCUUCGCGGUGGUUCGAUUCUCGGCGGUGGAUCUUUGAUGCUUGCGCGGAGACUUCUUAGAGGGACUAAUAGGGAUCACCUAUUGGAAGCGGCGCAAUAACA